rnacentral:rRNA from 1 species
CGGCGAGUGAAGCGGCAACAGCUCAAAUUUGAAACCUGCCUCCCGGCCGGAUUGUAAUUUGUAGAGGAUGCUUUGGAUAGGGCUCUGAUCUAAGUUUCUUGGAACAGAACGUCACAGAGGGUGAGAAUCCCGUUCGUGGUCGAGUGCCUCUAUCCGUGUAAAGCUCCUUCGACGAGUCGAGUUGUUUGGGAAUGCAGCUCAAAAUGGGUGGUAAAUUUCAUCUAAAGCUAAAUAUUGGCCAGAGACCGAUAGCGCACAAGUAGAGUGAUCGAAAGAUGAAAAGCACUUUGGAAAGAGAGUUAAACAGCACGUGAAAUUGUUGAAAGGGAAGCGCUUGCAAUCAGACUUGCACGACGGUAAUCACGGGUGGUUCGCUGCCCUGCACUUGCCGCCGUUCAGGCCAGCAUCAGUUUUGACGGUGGGAUAAAGGUCGUAGGAAUGUGGCUCCUCCGGGAGUGUUAUAGCCUGCGAUGCCAUGCCGCCUGUCGAGACUGAGGACCGCGCUUCGGCUAGGAUGCUGGCGUAAUGAUUGUAAGCGACCCGUCUUGAAACACGGACCAAGGAGUCUAACAUCUAUGCGAGUGUUUGGGUGCAAAACCCACACGCGGAAUGAAAGUGAACGGAGGUGGGAGUCCUUAAGGAUGCACCAUCGACCGAUCCUGAUGUCUUCGGAUGGAUUUGAGUAUGAGCAUAGCUGUUGGGACCCGAAAGAUGGUGAACUAUGCCUGAAUAGGGUGAAGCCAGAGGAAACUCUGGUGGAGGCUCGCAGCGGUUCUGACGUGCAAAUCGAUCGUCAAAUUUGGGUAUAGGGGCGAAAGACUAAUCGAACCAU